rnacentral:rRNA from 1 species
UACGUAGGGUGCGAGCGUUGCCCGGAAUUACUGGGCGUAAAGGGCUCGUAGGUGGCCAACUAAGUCAGACGUGAAAUCCCUCGGCUUAACCGGGGAACUGCGUCUGAUACUGGAUGGCUUGAGUUUGGGAGAGGGACGCGGAAUUCCAGGUGUAGCGGUGAAAUGCGUAGAUAUCUGGAGGAACACCGGUGGCGAAGGCGGCGUCCUGGACCAACACUGACACUGAGGAGCGAAAGCCAGGGGAGCAAACGGG